CAGGGCGCCUGUGCGUGCCUGCCGGGAAGGGCCGCUUGCCGUGGCCGGGCGCCUUUCAGGUCUGGCUGGGUCUGUGGAACAGCUAUAGCCAUCAUGCUACCAGGGCCCGUGAGCCAAGCCAGCACUAAAGAUAACAGAGCAGAAAUGGGAAGAACCUGGAUCCUUGGUGACUUACGGAGCUGCUGGAGCCUGCCCUACUUGAACUUCUUGUCACGUGGGAUUAUAAAUCUCCUUACUGUUUAAGCUAUUUGAAUCAGGGUUUUUCUGUUACUUGCAGCCAAAAGCUUCCCAACUGAAACAAGAACUAAAGGAAAUGGAACACAUACAGUCUGUACUAGGCAACAUGACGGAGGUGUAAGAAGUCAGGCAGCAAAUUAUUUAGUAACGUGGACUACGGAGGAUUCGUCACCAGAGGGGAAUGUUUACUUUUAAGAAGCGGUUCAGUAUCUUCUAGCUCCUACCUCUUGAGCAUCUUAACAGUCUUUCCCCGAGGCUGACCGACAUCGGGACCGUAGAGCUUUGCAUUUUUUCUCACUCUGUUGCCCGGGCU